GGAUGUGAGGGCGAUCUGGCUGCGACAUCUGUUACCCCAUUGAUCACCAGGGUUGAUUCGGCUGAUCUAGUCAUCUAAGCAAGUGUUCCCUUCCUCCUUCACCACUCCGUGUGCAUCCCUCCCAAAGCUGUGUACUGGGUCGAAGAGGACGGCCUUCCUGGAAUAAAGAUGGAUCGGUCUUCUGUCAGGGGUAUAAGAGUAGCUGCGCUCACCUGCUAGAACCUGCAGACAAGCUCUCAAGGUCCAAUAUUUUCCUCUAUGUACUUGACAGUUUCCAGCCUAACAUCUAAGUCUUUGAUUCAUUUGGAAUUUACUUUCAUUUCUGGUGAAAUGUAGUGGUUC
ensembl:misc_RNA 7SK 7SK RNA